rnacentral:rRNA from 1 species
GACGAACGCUGGCGGCGUGCUUAACACAUGCAAGUCGAACGAAGAGCGAUGGAAGCUUGCUUCUAUCAAUCUUAGUGGCGUACGGGUGAGUAACGCGUAAUCAACCUGCCCUUCAGAGGGGGACAACAGUUGGAAACGACUGCUAAUACCGCAUACGAUCUAAUCUCGGCAUCGAGGAUAGAUGAAAGGUGGCCUCUACAUGUAAGCUAUCACUGAAGGAGGGGAUUGCGUCUGAUUAGCUAGUUGGAGGGGUAACGGCCCACCAAGGCGAUGAUCAGUAGCCGGACUGAGAGGAUGAACGGCCACAUUGGGACUGAGACACGGCCCAGACUGCUACGGGAGGCAGCAGUGGGGAAUCGUCCGCAAUGGACGAAAGUCUGACGGAGCAACGCCGAGUGAGUGAUGACGGCCGUCGGGUUGUAAAGCUCGGUUAAUCGGGACGAAAGGCCUUCUUGCGAAUAGGGAGAAGGAUUGACGGUACCGGAAUAGAAAGCCACGGCUAACUACGUG